rnacentral:lncRNA from 1 species
UGCUUGUCAGGAGGAGGAGGAGGAGGAGGAGCAGCAACAACAGCAGCAAGGGUUAACAAGCCACAGUGGAGAAAAGAAGAGCGGCAGAGGGGGUUUCUCCGGACCAAAGCAGAGAAUCUGCUCAUUUACCAUUUACCAAAUGAACACGUUGGGAGUGGUUGUGGGAUGAGAAGGUGGAUUUCCUGAUUUGAGGCUGUCUUAACGUGUCAUGAAAUAUGUUUCUGAACACUGACGGAGAGCUGUGCUGUGGCUGCCUGGGUUAGGGUCAGGGCCCAGUGCUUCACUCCCAUGCACAGCACCAAUGGUUUCCAGCCGUCAGGGAGAUCUCGGCAGUAAUGGGACGUGGCCCCUGAAGCCAUCUGCCUCCCCAGUGGAGGUAGGGACAGACCUGCCUGGCCUCAUAUGACACAUUUUUAAUCAAACAACUGUCAGAUGUCAGUGAGGGAAGAAGCCACAUGCCAGGAAUUGGGGGCUCCACAGAACCUACGAGACCAGGAUCUGGACAGGACGGCACUGGAUACAGGGCAGUGAGCCCGACCUGCAUGGCCAGGCCUGCCUUCUGGAGCUGCUGUCUAGCCCAGGAGCUGUGGACAUGCAUAAGAGGGGCACCAGGCUCCAUCCAGCAUGGCCAGAGAUGACUUCAGGAAGAAGUCAUUGAUGUGGCUCCAUGUGACCCUGGGGUUCUAUUAGCUGCUUAGUCUCAUCAUCUGAAUGGGCCAUGAGCUAUUCAACCAAACCCCUCACGGUGGACAUUUGGGCUGCUCACGAAUGAGAGCUCUUUCCAGCUUCAGAUUCAGCUGCUCGGGCUGGGGGGCUUGUCUGACCACGAGGGUGCUUCUCCCAAGGGAGGCAGAAAACCACAAAACCUAGAUGGGACAAGAUAGAGGCUGGGUGACACCUAGGCCUUACAAAGUGAGGAUGAAUAACUUGGGCACAAAUGGAUCCCUUGGCUAUUUGGAAAGAAGAGAAGACUCAGCUAAAAAUCCAGCUGUUUAAUUGUGGGGUGAAGCUGUAUGGUAUGCGAACAUUUAUUUAAA